rnacentral:pre_miRNA from 1 species
ACUUGAGCCGUCCGUACAAAACUGACUCAUAGUUGUUUUGUUCGUUUGGCUCGAGUUA